rnacentral:scRNA from 1 species
AUGGACGAGAACUACAACCUGACAUACGAGGU